ACACUGCAUGAUUGUUCCAGCAGAAUCAAGGACGCCCCGGCUCAUGGAGAAAGAAUACAUCGAAGAUACUCUAGGAGGUGGGUAAAAAAUUCAGUGCUGUUGUAUCAUGGGUACGCUUCCCAGCACUGAGUUACUUGCAGAGGGAGCGCCUUCGAAGGAGAAUCCCUCCAAUAGAGCAAGAGAUAUACGUCGAAUAGAGCACAAUCCUCUACUGCCGUAUACACUCUUUCAAAAGAAAGGGGCUAAACCCUUGAGAGUAAUACAGCACAUAUGGAGCUUCUGACGGAAUAUCUCAACCAAAUUACCCAGUUAGGUGAAAAAUACACAGAAGACUAAGUUUAUGUUAUUAAUCCCGUGCGGAGGAUGGCGACAAAGAUAACAUGCCCAGACAUGUUCUGCAUACAUCAAAAAUUAAAAAUUAAGCAAAAUCAUGAUCUUUAAUAUUCUUUGAAGAUAGCGUGACCAUAGUGUUGGUAUUGUAACCUUACC